CACACGUAAGGCAUGGGAUUGUCCGGGAGAAAUCCGGAUCGUUCCGCCCGGUGGCAUUCUCGAAGAGAGUGCUGUUCGCCUUGCGGAGGUUCAACCGGAAAAGGAGUCAAAGGC
rfam:Rhizobium lusitanum strain P1-7 genome assembly, contig: Ga0061101_105